rnacentral:rRNA from 1 species
UACGUAGGUGGCAAGCGUUGUCCGGAUUUAUUGGGCGUAAAGAGCUCGUAGGCGGUUCCGUAAGUCGUGAAGUCAAAUCUCUGGGCUCAACCCAGAAUCGCUUCCGAUACUGCGGUGACUGGAGUCCGGUAGGGGAGUGUGGAAUUCCUGGUGUAGCGGUGAAAUGCGCAGAUAUCAGGAGGAACACCAACAGCGAAGGCAGCACUCUGGGCCGGUACUGACGCUGAGGAGCGAAAGCAUGGGGAGCGAACAGG